GACAGAGGGGGCAAGCGUUGCUCGGAAUUACUGGGCGUAAAGGGCGCGUAGGCGGGAUGGCAAGUCGGUCGUGAAAUCCUUCGGCUCAACCGAAGAACGUCGAUCGAUACUGCUGUUCUUGAGGGUUGCAGAGGAGACUGGAAUUCCCGGUGUAGCGGUGAAAUGCGUAGAGAUCCGGAGGAACCCCAGAGGCGAAGGCGGCGCCCUGGCUCGCACCUGACGC
rnacentral:rRNA from 1 species